GGGGAUUGUUCAAUAUGUCCACCACUAACUAAUUUGUGAUUUCCAACAACACAUUUCGCAACAAUCCAGUAUGAACAAUCUAAUUUGAAUUUUUCCCGCUACUCUGAGCGAAUAUUUUUGUAGCUACAGUCUCUCAGGUCAGCAGUAAAGGCCAUGGUAACAUAGCAACAGCUUUCGAGAGCUUUCGAACAACAACAAUGGCGGAAAGGUCAUGAAACGAAUACGAAAAUGGCAACUAUAUUUUGAAAUUUUGCCUAUCAUGGCCUCUAAAAUAGCAGUCUUAUGAUCCUCAAAAACAACGUAUUUCAAGACAUUAUGGAACCCACUAAACGGGAUUAAAAUAGCUUAAAAUCUAGC